rnacentral:rRNA from 1 species
GCCUUGCUCUGNUGGGAUCAGUGGCGAACGGGUGAGUAACACGNUGAGCAACCUGCCCCUGACUCUGGGAUAAGCGCUGGAAACGGCGUCUAAUACUGGAUAUGUGACGUGACCGCAUGGUCUGCGUCUGGAAAGAAUUUCGGUUGGGGAUGGGCUCGCGGCCUAUCAGCUUGUUGGUGAGGUAAUGGCUCACCAAGGCGUCGACGGGUAGCCGGCCUGAGAGGGUGACCGGCCACACUGGGACUGAGACACGGCCCAGACUCCUACGGGAGGCAGCAGUGGGGAAUAUUGCACAAUGGGCGCAAGCCUGAUGCAGCAACGCCGCGUGAGGGACGACGGCCUUCGGGUUGUAAACCUCUUUUAGCAGGGAAGAAGCGAAAGUGACGGUACCUGCAGAAAAAGCGCCGGCUAACUACGUGCCAGCAGCCGCGGUAAUACGUAGGGCGCAAGCGUUAUCCGGAAUUAUUGGGCGUAAAGAGCUCGUAGGCGGUUUGUCGCGUCUGCUGUGAAAUCCGGAGGCUCAACCUCCGGCCUGCAGUGGGUACGGGCAGACUAGAGUGCGGUAGGGGAGAUUG